rnacentral:rRNA from 1 species
CAGUCGCCGCGGUAAUACGAAGGGGGCUAGCGUUGCUCGGAAUUACUGGGCGUAAAGGGCGCGUAGGCGGCGCUCCAAGUUAGGCGUGAAAUUCCCGGGCUCAACCUGGGGACUGCGCUUAAGACUGGAGUGCUUGAGGAUGGAAGAGGGUUGUGGAAUUCCCAGUGUAGAGGUGAAAUUCGUAGAUAUUGGGAAGAACACCGGUGGCGAAGGCGGCAACCUGGUCCAUUACUGACGCUGAGGCGCGAUAGCGUGGGGAGCAAACAGGAUUAGAUACCCCCGUAGUCCCUGUCUCUUAUAC